rnacentral:rRNA from 2 species
GAUGAACGCUGGCGGCGUGCUUAACACAUGCAAGUCGAACGAUGAUCCCAGCUUGCUGGGGGAUUAGUGGCGAACGGGUGAGUAACACGUGAGUAACCUGCCCUUGACUCUGGGAUAAGCCUGGGAAACUGGGUCUAAUACCGGAUACGACCAUCUGGCGCAUGUCAUGGUGGUGGAAAGCUUUUGUGGUUUUGGAUGGACUCGCGGCCUAUCAGCUUGUUGGUGGGGUAAUGGCCUACCAAGGCGACGACGGGUAGCCGGCCUGAGAGGGUGACCGGCCACACUGGGACUGAGACACGGCCCAGACUCCUACGGGAGGCAGCAGUGGGGAAUAUUGCACAAUGGGCGCAAGCCUGAUGCAGCGACGCCGCGUGAGGGAUGACGGCCUUCGGGUUGUAAACCUCUUUCAGUAGGGAAGAAGCGAAAGUGACGGUACCUGCAGAAGAAGCGCCGGCUAACUACGUGCCAGCAGCCGCGGUAAUACGUAGGAGGCAAGCAUUAUCCGGAUUCAUUGGGCGUAAAGUGUGCGUAGGCGGACUAGUGUGUCUUAUUUUAAAGACCAAGGCUUAACCUUGGAUUUGGAUAGGAAACUAUUAGUCUUGAGGAUUAAUCGGGGUGAUAGAACAGUUAGUGUAGCAGUGAAAUGCGUUGAUAUUAACUGGAAUACCAAAGGCGAAGGCAGUCACCUGGGUUCUUCCUGACGCUGAGGCACGAAAGCUAGGGUAGCGAAACAGAUUAGAGACCUGUGUAGUCCUAGCCGUAAACGAUGUCUGCUAGAUUUUCUCUCGUCAAGUACAUAAGUAAAUUCUUGUGUCUUUGACGAGGGAGAGUCGCAAGCUAACGCGUUAAGCAGACCGCCUGGGGAGUACGGUCGCAAGACUA